GACGUAGGGCGCGAGCGUUAAUCGGAAUUACUGGGCGUAAAGCGUGCGCAGGCGGUUCGCUAAGACCGAUGUGAAAUCCCCGGGCUUAACCUGGGAACUGCAUUGGUGACUGGCGGGCUAGAGUAUGGCAGAGGGGGGUAGAAUUCCACGUGUAGCAGUGAAAUGCGUAGAGAUGUGGAGGAAUACCGAUGGCGAAGGCAGCCCCCUGGGCCAAUACUGACGCUCAUGCACGAAAGCGUGGGGAGCAAACAGG
rnacentral:rRNA from 1 species